GACGAACGCUGGCGGCGUGCUUUAGGCAUGCAAGUCGAACGCGAAAGCCCCUUCGGGGGUGAGUAGAGUGGCGAACGGGUGAGUAACACGUGGGUAACCUGCCCCUCGCAGGGGGAUAACCGGGGGAAACCCCGGCUAAUACCCCGUACGCUUGCUGGGGCGCAUGCUCCGGCAAGGAAAGGUAGCUUCGGCCAUCCGGCGAGGGAGGGGCCCGCGGCCCAUUAGCUAGUUGGCGGGGUAACGGCCCACCAAGGCGACGAUGGGUAGCUGGCCUGAGAGGGUGGUCAGCCACACUGGGACUGAGACACGGCCCAGACUCCUACGGGAGGCAGCAGCCAGGAAUCUUGCGCAAUGGGCGAAAGCCUGACGCAGCAACGCCGCGUGGGCGAUGAAGGCCUUCGGGUCGUAAAGCCCUGUUGUCGGGGACGAAGGGCGAAGGGUUAAUAGCCCCUAGCCUGACGGUACCCGACGAGGAAGCCCCGGCUAACUACGUG
rnacentral:rRNA from 1 species